rnacentral:rRNA from 1 species
CCUACGGGUGGCAGCAGUAGGGAAUCUUUCACAAUGGGCGAAAGCCUGAUGGAGCAACGCCGCGUGCAGGAUGAAGGCCUUCGGGUUGUAAACUGCUUUUAUAAGCGAGAAAUAUGAUGGUAACUUAUGAAUAAGGAUCGGCUAACUACGUGCCAGCAGCCGCGGUCAUACGUAGGAUCCGAGCAUUAUCCGGAGUGACUGGGUGUAAAGAGUUGCGUAGGUGGCAUAAUAAGUAGCUAGGGAAAUCUGGUGGCUCAACCAUUCAGACUAUUAGCGAAACUGUUAAGCUCGAGACCGUUAGGGGUAACUGGAAUGUCUAGUGUAGGAGUGAAAUCCGUAGAUAUUAGAAGGAACACCAAUAGCGUAGGCAGGUUGCUGGGACGGUUCUGACACUAAGGCACGAAAGCGUAGGGAGCAAACGGGAUUAGAUACCCUUGUAGUC